GACUUGAUGGUCUAGUAGUAUGAUUCCUUGUUAGGGCGGUCGCUGCAAUCUCGAGGAGGUCCUGGGUUCAAUUCCCAGUCAAGCCC